rnacentral:rRNA from 1 species
UACGUAGGGGGCAAGCGUUGUCCGGAUUUAUUGGGCUUAAAGGGUGCGUAGGCGGCUAUCUAAGUCAGUGCUGAAAUAUCCCGGCUUAACCGGGAGGGUGGCAUUGAUACUGGGUUGCUUGAGUAAAGUUGAGGUAGGCGGAAUUGACGGUGUAGCGGUGAAAUGCUUAGAUAUCGUCAAGAACACCAAUAGUGAAGACAGCUUACUGAACUUUAACUGACGCUGAGGCACGAAAGUGUGGGGAUCAAACAGG